rnacentral:lncRNA from 1 species
AGAUGGAAAGCCGCCUGCAGGCUGAACGCAUUUCCAUUUCGCUUUGAAUUUCCUCUCUGCUGGGAAUCAAUUUUUGAUGAGAUUUGUUCAGAAUGUUGAUGCCUCUGUUGUGAAAAGCAGAACAAAACCUGCACAGACAAAGCAGCAGAAGAGGGACAGCGAGCGCUUGGAGGAUGCAUCUAUGGAAAACCUGUGCAAACUAGCUGAGGAAUGUGUCUGCCCAGAAGCCUCUGUGACUGCUUGUGCCGUGAGACCCAGACUCUUCUAAGAGACCCUUAGAUUGGCUUUAUGACUUUUCCAGCUUAAAAGUCUGCAGCUUUCUCAGUAUCAGUUUUUAGUGUGUUUUAGUUUAUUUUUAAAACGUCUUCUUAUAAAACAGUACCACGUUGAAACUUACAUCCGUUAUCUUCCAUGCCCCCCCAACCCUGAUAAGUGUGCCAAGACGCCUUUUGACUGAAAAGUGGACCCACGGGACGUGCAGGCAAGGCUGCUCUGGGCUCUCACUUGGGUGCUGCGGCACCACCUUCCUACCCGAGACUCAGAAUCCAGGUGCAGGAGCCUGAUGCGGAGCUUUGGCUUCAGAAGAGCUGACAAGGCAUCUGGAGGAAGGAUGGGAGAAGCAGAAGGAAGCCUUGCAGGAGAGAGCGAAGGACCCAGGCGUGUGGUCUGCAAUCCCUGAGAUGGUUGACAGGUGCAAGUACCGGGCUCCUCCUGCAGCUGCAUUUCCAGGCUGACCAGCAGGAGAAAAAGGACUUUCACCUUGAAAACCCCAGGUGGAUCUAUUCUGUAACAGAACGUCUAGCAACUCGGUGCAAGUGGUUAAAGACUGCUUCUUCCCGGCGUUCAUUCUAAGGGGCUGCACCUCGGGUGCUCGGGCCGUUUCCCUUUUGUUGGUAGGAGCCAUGGACCAAGUUCAGGUGUUAAUCCUCUUGAGAAAAAUGAUUUUGUUUGGGAAGGUAAAGUAAGAAGCACGCACCGUGCACGAAUCUGAGCGGUCAGGGCGCUCGCGUGGCCGUCCCAGCGUCAGUCAAUACGAAGUGUUUGCCGAGUAUCAUCAGCAAGACAGGAAAAGGCAGAUCCCUAAAAGAUUUUGAAGACUAGUUUUUAGAGCAGUUUGAGGCUUACAGCAAAGUUGGUAGGCAAGUUCAGUGAUUUCCUUUAACGGCCCCCACCCUUCGCCCCCCCAGAAGGCACAGCCGCCCCCCUCAUCUAUGUUCCCAGCAGAGGGUACAUUUGUGACAUUCAUUGAUGCUGCGUUGACUGGAUCAUAGUCCCCGAAGCCCACAGCUUACCUUGGGGUCUUCUCUUGGUGUCGCGCCUUCUACGGGUUUGGGCGAGUGUAUGAUGAUAUUUAUCCAUCAUCACGUUAUCAUACAGAAUAUCUCCACCGCUCUAAAAAUCCUCCAUACUCUGCCCGUUCAUCUCUCUCGUCUGACCCAGGCAACCCCUGAUCUCCACCGUUCUGCAGUUUCCAGAAUGUCGUGUAGUUGGAAUCAGACUCUAUGCAGACUUUGCAGACUGGCUUCUUUCACUUGGUUGCAUGGAUUUAAGGUUCCUUUGUGUCUUUUCAUGGCUUGAUAGCUGCUUUCUGUUUAGUGCUGAAUGAUGUUCCAUUCGCUGGCUGUGUCUGUGUAUUUAACCAUUCCCCUACCAAAGGAUACCUUGAUUGCCCCGAGUUUCAGCAAUGGUAAAGAAAACUCCUACAAACAUCCAUGGACAAGUUCCUGUGUGGACAUAAGCUUUCCGGUUUUUUGAGUGAAUACCAAGAAGUAUGACUGCAAGAUCAUAUGAUAAGCGUAUGUUAACUUCAUAAGAAACAACCAAACUGUCUUUCCUAGUGGCUGCGCCACUUUGAAUUCCCAGCACCGUGAACGAGAGUUCCUGUUGCUCCACAGCCUGACCAGUGCUUGGUGGUGUCAGUGAACCAGAUUUUGGCCAUUCUGACAGGUGUGAGUGGUGUCUCCCUGUCGUGUUAAGCGUCAUGUCUCUGACGACACAGGAUGUGGAAGUCUGUUCCUACGCUCAUUUACCAUCUGUGUCUCUUCUCUGGCGAGAUGUUUGCGUAGCUAUUUGGCCCAUUUUCUCACCAGGUUCUUUUCUUAUUUUGAGUUUUAAGAGUUCUUUCUCUAGUUUGAAUAUCAGUCCUUUAUCAAACGUGUCUUAUGCAAAUAUUUUCCCCCAGUUUGUGCCUUGUCUUCUCAUUCUCUUUCACAGAGCAGAGCCAUUUAAAAUUCCUACAUCUUGGUAAAAUGCUGCUUAUCAGUUAUUAAUUUUAUGGAUCAUGCCUUUGGUGUUAUAUCUAAAAAUCAUUGCCAUGUCCUAGGAGAAAACAUAGUUUUCUCCCAAGUUAUCUUCUGGGAGUUUUAUGGUUUGUGUGUGUGUGUGUUUGACAUUCAGGCCGACGAGUCAUUUUGAGGUAAAAUAUUCUGUUGUUCUUUUGGCCACUCCUGUAGCUUUUGUGGAAAUUCCUGGACCCGGGGUAGAACCUGCACCACAGCAGGGGCCCAAACUGAUGCAAUGACAACGCCAGAUCCUUGACCUGUGGCCCUGCAGGAGAAGGCCAAUUUUCCUUUAAUUUUUGUCAAGUGUAUAAGGUCUGCAUGGAGAAUCUUUUUUUUUUUUUUUUUUUUUUUUUUUUUCCUGUGUGGACGUCCAGCCGUUCCAGCACCAUUUGUUGAAAAACUAACUUUGCCCAUUGUAUUGUCUUUGUUCCCACUACCAGUUGGCUCUAUUUGUGUGUGUCUAUUUCAGGAUUCUAUUCUGUUCUAUGAACGUGUUUUCCUGUCUUUUUACGAAUAUCACCCCAUCCCGAUCACUACAGUUCUGUCGGAAGGCUUAAGACCCAGUAGAGUCAGUCAUCCUGCUUUGUUUUUCUCCUUCCAUAUUGUGCUGCUUUUCUGGACUUUUUGACUCUCCAUAUACAUUUUAUUUUAUUAAAAAAAUUUUUUUUGUCUUUUUAGGGCCACACCUGUGGCACAUGGAGGUUCCCAUGCUAGGGGUCCAGUUGGAGCUGAAGCUGCUGGCCUGCACCACAGCCACAGCAACACGGGAUCUGAGCCACAUCUGAGACCGACACCCCAGCUCAUGGCAACGCUGGUCCUUCACCCACUGAGCGAGGCCAGGGAUCGACCCCACAUCCUCAUGGAUGCUAGUCAGGUUCACUAACCGCUGAGCCAUGAGGGGAACUCCUCCAUGUACGUUUUAGAAUCCAUUUGUGGUAUCCACAAAGAGCUGCCUAGGAUUUUGAGUGGGAUGCCUUAAAUCUACAGAUCAAAUUCGGAAGAGCUGGCCUCUUAACCACUGCCUUCCUCUCCACGAGCUUGGAACCUCUCUCCACUCAAUUAGUUCUUCUUUGAUUUCUUUCAUCGGUUUUGUAGCUUUCCUCACAUAGAUUUUGUUCCCGUUUUGUUAGGUUUAUUGUAAGCAUUUCCUUUUUCGGGGGCUCAUGUACAUGAUACUGUGUUUUAAAUGUCAAUUUCCAGUUGUUCAUUGCUAGUAUAUGAACUAGGAAUGUGACUUUUGUAUUUUAAGCUUAUAUCCUGCAGUCUUGCUAUAAUUGCUUAUUAGUCCCCAGAGUUUACUGAUUCUUCGGAUUUUCUGCUUAGAUGACGUGCCAUUUGCGCACAAACACAGCCUUAGUCCUUCCUUCCCAACCUGCAUACCUUUUAUUUCCUUUUCUUGCCCAACUGCAUUAGCAAAGACGUUCCAUACAAGGUUGAGAAGGUGGUACAGCUGGUUUUUCCGCUCAGCAGUGGAUAUUUUGUUGUUUCUGGGUUUUGCCUGCUCUGAGGAGAGCUGCUUUGUUCAGAUCAUACAGCACAUGUGUGGACAUAUGUGCUCUCUUCUCAUGGGGAAGCGCCCAGGCGUGGGAUGCUGCAUUGCAGGUCAAAGAGAUGCCGGACGGUCCGAGGCGCAGCCGAGCUCCUGUCCAGGGCGGGUUUCUGAUGGGCAGCGUGUCGGUGGCUUUUGACGCUCAUCUGAUAGUCUCUGCCUUCCAGUCAGAGUAUUUAGACCAUUUAAGUUUUGCUGACUCUGGAUGGAGAGGGUUGAAACCUACCCUCUUCCUAAAGCUUUUUGCUUUUGUCCUGUUUGUCCUUUGUUACUUCCCCCUUUUUUGCCUUCUCUUGGGGCCUCUUCUACAAUUCCAUUUUACUGCACCUGUCAGCUGACCGGUGACCCUUUGGGGGCUUUUCAGUGACGGGGCAGCACCGUGACUCUCACGUUCGCCCCUCGCUCAGACGCAGAAGAAUUCAGAGACACGGGUCUCUGCAGGGCUUCCUGCCCACUAGGAGUUUGCAGCGUCUGCCUCAUGUGGGAGAGAGGUCCAGGGACUGCCCAGUUUCUCCUCUGCAGCCCUCAGGGCGGCGGCAGGGGGUGGGGGGGGAAUUCCGUCCCUCUUCUGGGCACCUGGCAGCUGGCACAGGCCCUCCCUGUAGCCAAGCCAGCUCCCCAGCUUGUUUUGCCCUUAGGAAUCCAUCAAACCCUCAGCCACAUUCCUUUUAUCUGAGGUCCGGGCCACCGUGCUUUGGUCAGAAUCAUCUGAGGUUUUGUUUGCUUCAUUUUGUUUGGUGCAAGAGGCAAGGAGCAGAUGGUAUACUGUUAACAGAUGGAGAGGAAACCAGAAAGCCUCCAGUCUCUUCUCUGCUUCCUUUAUGUAAAAACGGAGUUCCUGCAGAAAGGACACGCAGGCUUGCUGGGAGUGAGAUCCCAACAGAGAAGAACGCGACACCUGCUCUCCAAGGGCGUGUGGGCGGUCCGACCCAGAUAACCUGAAAGACCUUGGGAACGCGUGUGAAGUGCUUGGAGGGAACCUCUCUGGAAUCUUGAAGAACGAGACAGACACCAGGACAGAGGAGGUGGCAGACGCGCCAGCUCUCGGGGCGGGGAGGAGGGAGACUACGGAUGCGCAAGCUCACUGUCCACAGGUCCUUGGAGGAUCCGUUCAGCACUCCAGGUGAGGGUGCGCCAGAAAGAGCAGCCUGGACGUUCCAAACCCUUCGAAGCAUAGCAGCGCCGUCAAGGCACCAACAGGUAAACCUCAGGCCGGAGAAGCCACAGGGGUUUCCAGCCACAGCGGCCAAGCUGAGCUCCAGCGUUUCAAGCAACCCCUUCAAGAAAGAGCCGACUUGGGGGUCCCCAUGCCGCUCACUCAGAGAACCAGGUAGGGGAUCCGGGUCCCUGCUCUUGGGAAGAAUUUUGAUCAAGUUCAUCAACCCCUGAAAGAGUUGAGAAAUAUUUUACCACAUUGGAAAAACAACUGAGGCCAGCAAAGGCAAAGAGGUGGGCCGGUCGGCUCCCACAGGCCUGUGGUCCGAGCCUGGGCCUCUUCCUGCCCAGGGCAGCACGACAGGAUCCGUUCCCUGUUCCUGCUCCUUCUCUUCAGCCCCUCUCGUCAAUUCCUUCUCCCAGCUGCGUGGGCAUUUGAUACCAGGUCCCCGAAGGGUAAGCCCUUGCACAGAGACCUCUCCACUGUCCGCACCCCCGGACGAGGGCACGAUUUCAGAACACCUGCUCUCCUUGCCGUCACAUCUCCACGUGACUCCCAGCCCACGAGCCACCUCUGCAAAGGACCGAGGCCAGCAAACCUCUUCCUGAUGUACAACCAGUGGGACUCAGCUUCCUCCUGGACCGAUUCACUUCUCACAAAAUUAUCCUGACAGCCUCGCUUGCUGACCUCGGGGAACCCAGACUGAACCCGUUGCCUUGCCUUUGGGACCAGGACGGGCGUUGUUUAAAGAUGGGCCCUGUAUGUCGCUCCAGAUCAGAAUGUUUUCCUUUUAUAGCAUUUUAACAGCUUUUCCCAGAAAACAUCAGCCUUA